CCGGAUGAAGACCGUGCUUGCACGGUUGGAUUAGUGGCGAACGGGUGAGUAUCACGUGAGUAACCUUCCCUUGACUCUGGGAUAAGCCCGGGAAACUGGGUCUAAUACCGGAUAGGAGCGCCUACCGCAUGGUGGGUGUUGGAAAGAUUUAUCGGUUUUGGAUGGACUCGCGGCCUAUCAGCUUGUUGGUGAGGUAAUGGCUCACCAAGGCGACGACGGGUAGCCGGCCUGAGAGGGUGACCGGCCACACUGGGACUGAGACACGGCCCAGACUCCUACGGGAGGCAGCAGUGGGGAAUAUUGCACAAUGGGCGCAAGCCUGAUGCAGCGACGCCGCGUGAGGGAUGACGGCCUUCGGGUUGUAAACCUCUUUCAGUAGGGAAGAAGCGAAAGUGACGGUACCUGCAGAAGAAGCACCGGCUAACUACGUGCCAGCAGCCGCGGUAAUACGUAGGGUGCGAGCGUUAUCCGGAAUUAUUGGGCGUAAAGAGCUCGUAGGCGGUUUGUCGCGUCUGUCGUGAAAGUCCGGGGCUUAACCCCGGAUCUGCGGUGGGUACGGG
rnacentral:rRNA from 1 species